rnacentral:tRNA from 1 species
GGCUAGAUGGCGGAACGGUAAACGCAGUGGACUCAAAAUCCACCGUCCUUAUGGGCUUGUGAGUUCGAAUCUCACUCUGGCUACCA